GGAAGGCAGCAGGCGCGCAAAUUACCCAAUCCCGACACGGGGAGGUAGUGACAAUAAAUAACACAUAUAGGGCUCUUUUGGGUCUUAUACAUUGGCACUUGAGUACAAUUUAAAUCUCUUAAACGAGGCAACAAUUGGAGGGCAAAGUCUCGGUGCCAGCAGCCGCGGUAAUUCCAGGCUCCAAUAGCGUAUAUUAAAGUUGUG
rnacentral:rRNA from 1 species